ACCCGAAGGCCGUGCGCCAACCUUUAUAGGGGGCAGCGGACCACGGUGAGCUCAGCGACUGGGGUGAAGUCGUAACAAGGUAGCCGUAGGUGAACCUGCAGAAGGAUCA
rnacentral:rRNA from 1 species